AGUAAACCCAACAAACCCAGAUGGAAAAACAACAACUACAGAAAAGGAAAGAGUACAGAAAUUAGGGAAUUCAAGAUUAGUAAGUGAAGAAACAGUUGAUUAAAGUUAACUCACAUAAAGGAAACAAAAUCUCAAGACUCAAAAUUGGAGAUAACAGAGAUCAGAUUAUGGUGUUACGAUACUUGAUUUACGAAAAUGGAAGAAAACGGGAGGAGCGGAGUGGUGUGUCG
rnacentral:misc_RNA from 1 species